GCGGGCGUAGCUCAAUGGCAGAGCUGUUGCUUCCCAAGCAACUGACGAGAGUUCGAUUCUCUUCGCCCGCUCCA
rnacentral:tRNA from 2 species